UCGGGUGUGGUGUAUGGUGCACCUCUGCAAACACUUAGAAGAAAUCCACGUCAUGUUGGCAGAAAGACGGGGUUCGACUCCCCGCACCCGAG